UUGAAAAUGAACUUCUUUUCU
rnacentral:piRNA from 1 species